UACGUAGGUGGCAAGCGUUGUCCGGAAUUAUUGGGCGUAAAGAGUGUGUAGGCGGUGCUCUAAGUUCGGUGUGAAAUCUCCCGGCUCAACUGGGAGGGUGCGCCGGAAACUGGGGUGCUGGAGCGCGGGAGAGGAAAGCGGAAUUCCUGGUGUAGCGGUGAAAUGCGUAGAUAUCAGGAGGAACACCGGCGGUGUAGACGGCUUUCUGGACCGUAGCUGACGCUGAGACACGAAAGCGUGGGUAGCAAACAGG
rnacentral:rRNA from 1 species